GAGCUGGGGUGUGGGCGAGGUUCAGGAGGGGGUUCCUGGGUGUCGCGGAGGGGCCGGGGACGGGAGAGCUUUGUCUGUGGCCUUCCAUGCAUAGGUGUUUUGGAAUUCUGGAUCCCAGUUGUGAGGCUCAGCCGAAGUCACUGCUGUCAGCUCACCUCCCUGCAUGCCAGGCGCAGGGCAAAGUGGCCGGGGUUCGGGGUUGGAGGAGAGGUGUACUAGAAACAACUUUGCUCUUGUCCCUCAGGAUCUUAUUGUCUACGAUGUGACGAUCCGUGGAGAAAGUAGCAGAUGGGCAGAUUUUCAGUUGGGGAGAAUGAGGGAGAAAAGAACGGGCAUUCCGAGCCAAGAGCACUGCAUGAGCAAGGAGUUGGGAGGUUGCUUACUUGUUGAACAUAUUUGUUGCGUAUUUGCAUAUUUGCUAAACAGGGGUCUGUUGGGAGCCAGCCAUUGAAGGUGCUGGAGCAGAGAGAGAUAUGGAAUUGGAGCUGAUCCCUAUGAUGAAAGAUCUGGACCCUCGUGUAGCUGUUCCGUGAAGCAGGAGGUGAAGACCUAUUAAAAUGCCAUUUCAAGAACUACGAUUUUAAAGACAGUUUAGGUGGGAGGUAAUAAAGGUCUAAACAAGACGUUAAAUAUUGGGGACGUAAGGGAGAGGAUAUUUGAAGGACAUUACUCAUAACAAGACAUAGGGUUACUGACUAGUCAACGGACGCUUCUCCCUUGCUGACUGCAGCCAAUGGACCCCUUUUUAUCAAAGCUGGUCCCAGGGACCACAAAAAUC
rnacentral:lncRNA from 1 species